rnacentral:rRNA from 1 species
CCUACGGGAGGCAGCAGUGGGGAAUAUUGGACAAUGGGGGCAACCCUGAUCCAGCCAUGCCGCGUGUGUGAAGAAGGCCCUCGGGUUGUAAAGCACUUUCAGUGAGGAAGAACGCCUGGUGGUUAAUACCCAUCAGGAACGACAUCACUCACAGAAGAAGCACCGGCUAACUCCGUGCCAGCAGCCGCGGUAAUACGGAGGGUGCGAGCGUUAAUCGGAAUUACUGGGCGUAAAGCGCGCGUAGGUGGCUUGAUAAGCCGGUUGUGAAAGCCCCGGGCUCAACCUGGGAACGGCAUCCGGAACUGUCAAGCUAGAGUGCAGGAGAGGAAGGUAGAAUUCCCGGUGUAGCGGUGAAAUGCGUAGAGAUCGGGAGGAAUACCAGUGGCGAAGGCGGCCUUCUGGACUGACACUGACACUGAGGUGCGAAAGCGUGGGUAGCAAACAGGAUUAGAUACCCGGGUAGUC